CCCUUAGAUGUUCUGGGCCGCACACGCGCUACACUGACGAAUGCAACGAGCUUAUAACCUUGGCCGAAAGGUCUGGGUAAUCUCCAAAUUUCGUCGUGAUGGGGAUAGAUUAUUGCAAUUAUUAAUCUUCAACGAGGAAUGCCUAGUAAGCGCAAGUCAUCAGCUUGCGUUGAUUACGUCCCUGCCCUUUGUACACACCGCCCGUCGCUCCUACCGAUUGAAUGGUCCGGUGAAGCGUUCGGACCGUGGCCUUUGGACGGUUCGCCGUCUGUUGGCUGCGGGAAGUUCGUUAAACCUUAUCAUUUAGAGGAAGGAGAAGUCGUAACA
rnacentral:rRNA from 1 species